CAUUGCUCUGUCCCCAGCGCCGGCACUCUUCUGCUCAGUCUAGCCUCGCUCUGUCUCCCCGAUCUGCUCGAGAGCCUCCUGCACGCGGCGGACUCACUCCCCUCUGCCUCAGCUCACCGUCCUCCUGCUGUCGCACAGCGGCGAUACCACCACGACGCCGCUCGCUUCCUUUCACUGUACUCGUUAGGCCGGCGCUUCCCUUCGUGUCCGCCGUCGGCGCGAGGCGCCGGCUGGCGGAAGCUCUCCCCACGGCCUCCUCUCCCCGACACGCAGUCGGAUGCUUCGUCCUCUCCCGCCACGACAUCGCCCAGCACAUUCUACCCCCCCUAUGGCUCUGCCCGCCGCUUCCUCUCCCCACCAUGAUCUUAUAUUUGGGCUAACCCCGUCGGUAUUCCCUUGAUCUACUCUAUUGACUAUUGCCGUCGUCCGGGCGGAGCUGUACGGCGCGCAGGGUACGGCGGCGGCAAGAUUUGUCUGGAUGGAAUCCCUAUGGUUGAUCCCAGUACACGCAGGACCCUAAGGAUUUAUCCCCUUGAUACACUCACGAAAUGGGAGGUUUUGGAUUCAACUGUAAUUGUGAUUUGUGCAAAGACUUUGGUAUACUUUGAAGCAAAGCUAACAAGGCUAAAGUCAAACAGCUAUGCCUCCAAUGCUUUGCUUGACACUGUGACGUAGCAACAGUCCAGGGUGUAGGGGCAUAUAGGUGAGUUGAGCAGCGCGCACAGACAGAGCAAACAACCCAGACUGAAAAAGAGGAGAAUUUGGCACGAAAGGCCCUCUGCUGCCAACAAGAACAAGUAAGGUGAUAUCGGGUCCCCCUGUCGGAUCCCUUUGGAGGGUGUGAAUUCUUCAAGUUUGCAUCCAUUAAAUAAGACCGAGAAUUUGACUGAACUUACCAAGCCCAUCAGAAUACCAACCCAUCGUUCUGAGAAGCCAAGCUUCAACAUAAUACCUUGAAGUACCACUCUGGUGAUGUCAUCCCUGCAUACCUCCCACUGGCGUUGGAAAAAAUGUGCAGGGAACCCAUCCGGACCCGGUGCUUUGGUGGGAAACAUUUGGAACAAAGCCACCUUCACCUCAUCCUGACUAUAAGGUGAAUUCAAAAGCUCGUUCAUCGCCGGCGUCACCUUGCACGGAACCGUGUCCAAGACCCUAUUCAUGUCAUGCACGCCUUCAGAAGUGUACAGGUUUUUAUAGAACGUUGUAGCCAUCAUCUCCAUCUCCUCUCUGACUUCCGUGGUUUGGCCAUUCUCCUUCAACAGGGAUUUUAUUUGAUUUUUCCUGCGUCGUCGACUAGCACGAAGAUGGAAAAAAUAUGUAUUUUUGUCCCCGUGCUUAAGCCACUCGAUGUGAGCGCGCUG